rnacentral:lncRNA from 1 species
CUGACCAAUACAUAAAGUUUCUCACAAGAUCCAGCUAUAAACACAUGUUCUUAAUUUAUGUAAGCAAAGGCAUUGAUUAAUGGUCUUAGAUUAUUUGGAUAAACUUGUAAAUGCUAUUGCAGUUCAACGGUGCAACUAAUGUAUCGUAUAAAGUGUCACAAUAAACAAGAUGAAAGAUCAUUAAACUGAUUAAGAACUGACCAUCAAAUCUUAGAUGGAAUUGAUUACGCC